UACGUAGGGGGCAAGCGUUGUCCGGAAUCAUUGGGCGUAAAGCGCGUGUAGGCGGUCCGGUAAGUCCGCUGUGAAAGUCGGGGGCUCAACCCUCGGAUGCCGGUGGAUACUGUCGGGCUUGAGUACGGAAGAGGCGAGUGGAAUUCCUGGUGUAGCGGUGGAAUGCGCAGAUAUCAGGAGGAACACCAAUAGCGAAGGCAGCUCGCUGGGACGGUACUGACGCUAAGGCGCGAAAGCGUGGGGAGCGAACAGG
rnacentral:rRNA from 1 species